AUGCUGAGGACUCUAGUGAGACUGCCGUCGUAAGAUGUGAGGAAGGUGGGGAGUGACGUCAAAUCAGCACGGCCCUUACGUCCGGGGCUACACACGUGUUACAAUGGGGGGUACAGAGGGCAGCUACCGGGCGACCGGAUGCCAAUCCCAAAAACCUCUCUCAGUUCGGAUCGAAGUCUGCAACCCGACUUCGUGAAGCUGGAUUCGCUAGUAAUCGCGCAUCAGCCACGGCGCGGUGAAUACGUUCCCGGGCCUU
rnacentral:rRNA from 1 species